AGUGAACGCUGGCGGUAGGCCUAACACAUGCAAGUCGAACGGCAGCACAGUAAGAGCUUGCUCUUACCGGUGGCGAGGGGCGGACGGGUGAGGCAUACAUCAGCAUCUACUUUUUCGGGGGUGACAACGGAGGGAAACUUACGCCAACACCGCAUACGACCUACGGGUGAAAGCAGGGGAUCUUCGGACCUUGCGCGACUGAAUGAGCCGAUGUCGGAUUAGCUAGUUGGCGGGGUAAAGGCUCACCAAGGCAACGAUGCGUAGCCGACCUGAGAGGAUGAUCGGCCACACUGGAACUGAGACACGGUCCAGACUCCUACGGGAGGCAGCAGUAGGGAAUCUUGGGCAAUGGGCGAAAGCCUGACGGAGCAACGCCGCGUGAGUGAUGAAGGUCUUCGGGUCGUAAAACCCUGUUAUUAGGGAAGAACAAAUGUGUAAUUAACUAUGGACGUUUUGACGGUACCCAAUCAGAAAGCCCCGGCUAACUUCGUG
rnacentral:rRNA from 1 species